CCCUUAGAUGUUCUGGGCCGCACGCGCGCUACACUGACGAAUGCAACGAGCUUAUAACCUUGUCCGAAAGGUCUGGGUAAUCUCCAAAUUUCGUCGUGAUGGGGAUAGAUUAUUGCAAUUAUUAAUCUUCAACGAGGAAUGCCUAGUAAGCGCAAGUCAUCAGCUUGCGUUGAUUACGUCCCUGCCCUUUGUACACACCGCCCGUCGCACCUACCGAUUGAAUGGUCCGGUGAAGCCUCCGGAUUGGCGCGCACCUCGGUGCCGCCGAGAAGUUGGCUAAACCUUACCAUUUAGAGGAAGGUGAAGUCGUAACA
rnacentral:rRNA from 1 species